UGCUUUCUUUGCUGACGAGUGGCGGACGGGUGAGUAAUGCUUGGGAAUCUGGCUUAUGGAGGGGGAUAACUACGGGAAACUGUAGCUAAUACCGCGUAGUAUCGGAAGAUGAAAGUGUGGGACCGCAAGGCCACAUGCCAUAAGAUGAGCCCAAGUGGGAUUAGGUAGUUGGUUAGGUAAAGGCUGACCAAGCCGACGAUCUCUAGCUGGUCUGAGAGGAUGACCAGCCACACUGGAACUGAGACACGGUCCAGACUCCUACGGGAGGCAGCAGUGGGGAAUAUUGCACAAUGGGGGGAACCCUGAUGCAGCCAUGCCGCGUGAAUGAAGAAGGCCUUCGGGUUGUAAAGUUCUUUCGGUGAUGAGGAAGGUGUUUGUUUUAAUAGGACAAGCAAUUGACGUU
rnacentral:rRNA from 1 species